rnacentral:rRNA from 1 species
UACGUAGGGGGCUAGCGUUGUCCGGAUUCAUUGGGCGUAAAGAGCGUGUAGGCGGCCAGAUAGGUCGGUUGUGAAAACUGGAGGCUCAACCUCCAGACGUCGACCGAAACCCUCUGGCUAAAGUCCGGAAGAGGAGAAUGGAAUUCCUGGUGUAGCGGUGAAAUGCGCAGAUAUCGGGAGGAACACCAGUGGCGAAGGCGACUACCUGGCCUGUUCUUGACGCUGAGGCGCGAAAGCUAGGGGAGCAAACGGG